rnacentral:misc_RNA from 1 species
GAUGAAGAACGCAGCGAAAUGCGAUAAGUAAUGUGAAUUGCAGAAUUCAGUGAAUCAUCGAAUCUUUGAACGCACAUUGCGCCCGCCAGUAUUCUGGCGGGCAUGCCUGUUCGAGCGUCAUUUCAACCAUCAAGCCCCCGGCUUGUGUUGGGGACCUGCGGCUGCCGCAGGCCCUGAAAACCAGUGGCGGGCUCGCUAGUCACUCCGAGCGUAGUAAUACAUCUCGCUCAGGGCGUGCUGCGGGUUCCGGCCGCUAAAAAGCCUUAUUUACCCAAGGUUGACCUCGGAUCAGGUAGGAAGACCCGCUGAACUUAAGCAUAUCAAUAAGCGGAGGA